CAACAACAACAACAACAACAAAACCAACAACAACAACAACAACAACAACAACAACAACAACAACAAUAACAANNNNNNNNNNGACAAACACGAUGACGACGACGACGACAACAACAACAACAACAACAACAACAACAAGAACAAGAACAACAACAACAACAACCACAAUAACAACAACAACGACAGCAACAACAACAUCAACAAUCACGACGAUGACGAAGAUGACAACGAUGACAAUGACGACGACA
rnacentral:lncRNA from 1 species